rnacentral:rRNA from 1 species
UACGGGGGGUGCGAGCGUUGUCCGGAAUCACUGGGCGUAAAGGGCGCGUAGGUGGUUUGAUAAGGGUGUGGUGAAAGUCCGGAGCUCAACUCCGGAUCUGCCGUGCCGACUGUCAAACUCGAGGGCUGUAGAGGCAGACGGAAUUCCGGGUGUAGCGGUGGAAUGCGUAGAUAUCGGGAGGAACACCAGUGGCGAAGGCGGUUACCUGGAGCUUUGCUGACGCUGAUGCGCGAAAGCGUGGGGAGCGAUCCGG